rnacentral:rRNA from 1 species
UACGAGGGGGGCAAGUGUUGUUCGGAAUCACUGGGCGUAAAGGGCGCGUAGGCGGGCUCUUAAGUUGGAUGUUUAAAACCGGGGCCCAACCCCGGCGUGGCAUCCAAAACUGGGAGUCUUGAAUGGAACAGAGGCUAGUGGAAUUGGAGGUGUAGCGGUGGAAUGCGUAGAGAUCUCCAAGAACACCCGUUGCGAAGGCGGCUAGCUGGGUUCACAUUGACGCUGAGGCUCGAAAGCGUGGGGAGCAAACAGG